rnacentral:rRNA from 1 species
AACGAACGCUGGCGGCAUGCCUAACACAUGCAAGUCGAACGAGACCUUCGGGUCUAGUGGCGCACGGGUGCGUAACGCGUGGGAACCUGCCCUUAGGUUCGGAAUAACUCCCCGAAAGGGGUGCUAAUACCGGAUAAUGUCUUCGGACCAAAGAUUUAUCGCCUUUGGAUGGGCUCGCGUUGUAUUAGCUAGUUGGUAGGGUAAAAGCCUACCAAGGCGACGAUGCGUAGCUGGUCUGAGAGGAUGAUCAGCCACACUGGGAUGGAGACACGGCCCAGACGCCUACGGGAGGCAGAAGGCGGGAAUGGUGCAGAAUGGGAGCCAGCCUGAUGCAGCGGCGCUGCGUGGGGGAUGAAGGCCUGCGGGUGGGAAACGAAUGUCGCUAGGUACGAAGCUUGUGUGAAGGGAACUAGAGAAGAAGCACCGGCUAAUUACGUG